CCUCCCCUGCAUCACGCGCCCACAGCUGUCGGCCGGUACAUCCCGUCCGUCCAAUGGGUCUGGCGGCACCACCCACGACAGUUCACAAGGGAGGCGCGCGGGCUUCAACAGGGUGGAGCCGUCCUGCCUUCCCCGGCCUACUCCCCCUCGUGUGGCCACAUCGCACAGUCGGGCGGUGCGCUGACAGAGCCAGCGGAGUUCACUGCCGCCACCACGGGGAGCCCACCAACGGAGCGCAUUACUCCCUCUAACACCAGGAAGUUCAUUCAUUAGAUGAAGUUCACUUUGGAUUGAAAAAUAGUUCUAUCAGGCUGCACAUGGUGCCCUCCAAUUGAAGAAGUUAUCCAGCCAGGUGUUGUUCCUCGAUUUGUGUAGUUUCUUCCGAGAGAGGAUUUUCCCCAACUGCAGUUUGAAGCCUCCAUCUGCGAUGUGCGCCCCACGACCAGGAAGGCUUCCAUGCAGCCGCCGGGAGUCCAUACCAUUUAAAGUGUGAAGGAUAGCUGUGAAAUUUGAUGAUUUUUGUAUUUCUAGGAUAAAAGAAAGUUUGAAGUUCACUGAAACACAUGUUCGCAAUUAUCUAAAGGAGAAGUUCCAGCUAUAUCAAGGAGAAUAACUAUUCUAGAACCCCCUAGCUGCACCCAUCUCCCUUCCCUGGCUCGAGCAUCCUGGAGUUCGCCAUGGGCCGCCGGGGAGUCCACCCCACGCCUACCCCAACAGUCUUGUGUGUGCGGCCAGGAGCCAACGUGAGGCGCUGGGAGCGCCGUCCCUGCACCAGCGUGGCCUUCUAUUGUUCCAGGGUGACGGCGACAUGAGGGGCUACAGUUUCCAGGUCGUGCGUCGUCGUGUUCGAGGAAGUUAGUUUGCGUUUGCGCAAAUACUCGAGCAGCUACAGGAUGCUGACGAUAUUCUCUCAGGAGCAUUGCCAGGACGAGUGCAGUCACUACAAUGAGCUCUAGAUGAUAAACUCUACCUUCUGUACGUCAGGACCUUUGGGGUUGCUCCCGAUGGCAAGCAUAUCUCGUAUCUUCCUGAAUAAGUGUAUGAAAAUGAAGACACUUAGCAUUUGGUAUGCACUUCCAAACAAUUACCUACGAUAUUUCCUUAUAUAUGAUCGAUGCUGAUGCUGCU